rnacentral:rRNA from 1 species
GACGUAGGGCGCGAGCGUUGUCCGGAUUUAUUGGGCGUAAAGAGCUCGUAGGCGGCUCGUUGCGUCAACCGUGAAAACCCGGGGCUUAACUUCGGGCUUGCGGUUGAUACGGGCGGGCUGGAGUUCGGUAGGGGAGACUGGAAUUCCUGGUGUGGCGGUGAAAUGCGCAGAUAUCAGGAGGAACACCGGUGGCGAAGGCGGGUCUCUGGGCCGAUACUGACGCUGAGGAGCGAAAGCGCGGGGAUCAAACAGG